UGAAUACGAGAUGCUACGGCAUUGAAGUAGUGUAUGUCAGACUUCCAAGAAAAGCUCGCAAUGUCAUAAAUAAAUAAUGCCUGUACCAUAACCGACACAGGUGGGUAGGUAGAGUAUACUAAGGGGCGCGAGAUAACUCUCUCUAAGGAACUCGGCAAAAUGACUCCGUAACUUCGGGAGAAGGAGUGCCUCAUUUAUGAGGUUGCAAUAACAAGAUCCAAGCAACUGUUUACCAAAAACACAGGUCUCCGCUAAGUCGUAAGACGAUGUAUGGGGGCUGACGCCUGCCCAGUGCCAGAAGGUUAAAGAAGUUGGUUAGCAUCCGCGAAGCUGAUAACUGAAGCCCUGGUGAACGGCGGCCGUAACUAUAACGGUCCUAAGGUAGCGAAAUUCCUUGUCGGGUAAGUUCCGACCCGCACGAAAGGCGUAAUGAUUUGGAUUCUGUCUCAGAGAGGGACUCGGUGAAAUAGACUUGUCUGUGAAGAUGCGGACUACCUGCACCAGGACAGAAAGACCCUAUGAAGCUUUACUGUAACUUGAAAUUGAAAUUGGACUUUAGUUGCGCAGUAUAGGUGGGAGGCGUUGAGUUUAUUCUUGCGGGAAUUUAGGAGCCAUCAGUGAGAUACCACUCUGCUAAUGUUAGAUUUCUAACUUUGCAUCAUAAUCUGGUCAAAGAACAGUUUCAGGCGGGCAGUUUGACUGGGGCGGUCGCCUCCUAAAUGGUAACGGAGGCGUACAAAGGUUUCCUCUGAACGUGUAGAAAUCGUAUCUAGAGUAUAAAGGCAUAAGGAAGCUUGACUGUGAGACUUACAAGUCGAGCAGGGACGAAAGUCGGUCUUAGUGAUCUGACGGUGCUGAGUGGAAAGGCCGUCACUCAACGGAUAAAAGUUACUCUAAGGAUAACAGGCUGAUCUCCCCCAAGAGUUCACAUCGACGGGGAGGUUUGGCACCUCGAUGUCGGCUCAUCGCAUCCUGGGGCGGUAGUACGUCCCAAGGGUUGGGCUGUUCGCCCAUGAAAGCGGUACGCGAGCUGGGUUCAGAACGUCGUGAGACAGUUCGGUCCAUAUCCGGUGUAGGCGUUAGAAUAUUGAGAGGAGCCUUCUUUAGUACGAGAGGACCGAGAAGGACAUACCUCUGGUGUACCAGUUAUCGUGCCAACGGUAAACGCUGGGUAGCUAUGUAUGGAGUGGAUAACCGCUGAAAGCAUCUAAGUGGGAAGCCCACCUCAAGAUAAGUAUUC
rnacentral:rRNA from 1 species